CCUGGCUCAGGACGAACGCUGGCGGCGCGCCUAACACAUGCAAGUCGAACGAGAGAUGAGGAGCUUGCUCUUCAAAUCGAGUGGCGAACGGGUGAGUAACGCGUGAGGAACCUGCCUCAAAGAGGGGGACAACAGUUGGAAACGACUGCUAAUACCGCAUAAGCCCACGGCUCGGCAUCGAGCAGAGGGAAAAGGAGCAAUCCGCUUUGAGAUGGCCUCGCGUCCGAUUAGCUGGUUGGUGAGGUAACGGCCCACCAAGGCGACGAUCGGUAGCCGGACUGAGAGGUUGAACGGCCACAUUGGGACUGAGACACGGCCCAGACUCCUACGGGAGGCAGCAGUGGGGAAUAUUGCACAAUGGGGGAAACCCUGAUGCAGCGACGCCGCGUGGAGGAAGAAGGUCUUCGGAUUGUAAACUCCUGUUGUUGAGGAAGAUAAUGACGGUACUCAACAAGGAAGUGACGGCUAACUACGUGCCAGCAGCCGCGGUAAAACGUAGGUCACAAGCGUUGUCCGGAAUUACUGGGUGUAAAGGGAGCGCAGGCGGGAGAACAAGUUGGAAGUGAAAUCCAUGGGCUCAACCCAUGAACUGCUUUCAAAACUGUUUUUCUUGAGUAGUGCAGAGGUAGGCGGAAUUCCCGGUGUAGCGGUGGAAUGCGUAGAUAUCGGGAGGAACACCAGUGGCGAAGCCGGCCUACUGGGCACCAACUGACGCUGAGGCUCGAAAGUGUGGGUAGCAAACAGGAUUAGAUACCCUGGUAGUCCACACCGUAAACGAUGAUUACUAGGUGUUGGAGGAUUGACCCCUUCAGUGCCGCAGUUAACACAAUAAGUAAUCCACCUGGGGAGUACGACCGCAAGGUUGAAACUCAAAGGAAUUGACGGGGGCCCGCACAAGCAGUGGAGUAUGUGGUUUAAUUCGACGCAACGCGAAGAACCUUACCAAGUCUUGACAUCCCUUGACGAACAUAGAAAUAUGUUUUCUCUUCGGAGCAAGGAGACAGGUGGUGCAUGGUUGUCGUCAGCUCGUGUCGUGAGAUGUUGGGUUAAGUCCCGCAACGAGCGCAACCCUUAUGGUCAGUUACUACGCAAGAGGACUCUGGCCAGACUGCCGUUGACAAAACGGAGGAAGGUGGGGAUGACGUCAAAUCAUCAUGCCCUUUAUGACUUGGGCUACACACGUACUACAAUGGCGUUAAACAAAGAGAAGCAAGACCGCGAGGUGGAGCAAAACUCAGAAACAACGUCCCAGUUCGGACUGCAGGCUGCAACUCGCCUGCACGAAGUCGGAAUUGCUAGUAAUCGUGGAUCAGCAUGCCACGGUGAAUACGUUCCCGGGCCUUGCACACACCGCCC
rnacentral:rRNA from 1 species